UACGUAGGGGGCGAGCGUUGUCCGGAUUUAUUGGGCGUAAAGAGCGUGUAGGCGGCCAGGUAGGUCUGCUGUGAAAACUCGAGGCUCAACCUCGAGACGUCGGCGGAAACCAUCUGGCUAGAGUCCGGAAGAGGAGAGUGGAAUUCCUGGUGUAGCGGUAAAAUGCGCAGAUAUCAGGAAGAACACCCGUGGCGAAGGCGGCUCUCUGGGACGGUACUGACGCUGAGACGCGAAAGCGUGGGGAGCGAACAGG
rnacentral:rRNA from 1 species